rnacentral:tRNA from 1 species
GGCAUUGUGGCUCAGUGGUAAAGCACUCGCCUAGCAUGUGUGAAGCCCUGGGUUUGAUUCUCAGCACCA